UACGAAGGGGGCUAGCGUUGCUCGGAAUUACUGGGCGUAAAGGGCGCGUAGGCGGACAGUUUAGUCAGAGGUGAAAGCCCAGGGCUCAACCCUGGAAUUGCCUUUGAUACUGACUGUCUUGAGUCCGGGAGAGGUGAGUGGAACUGCGAGUGUAGAGGUGAAAUUCGUAGAUAUUCGCAAGAACACCAGUGGCGAAGGCGGCUCACUGGCCCGGUACUGACGCUGAGGCACGAAAGCGUGGGGAGCAAACAGG
rnacentral:rRNA from 1 species